ACGAACAGCUCAGUAACUCUUAUUUUAUUUGAUGUAUUAGGACUAUAACUAUGUUAAAUUAUAGAUAACAAUAAUACAAUAAGAAUAAGAUCUAUCAGUUAGUUGUUAAGGUAAUGGCUUAACAAGACUAUGACGGAUAACGGUAUUACUUUGUAAUAUUCCGGAGAAGGAGCCUGAGAGAUUGCUACUAAGUCUAAGGAUUGCAGCAGGGGCGAAACUUGACCUAUGAUAUGAUAUUGAGGCAGUUAUGAGUAGUAUUUUAUAAUUAUUGUAGUAUUGUAAGUAUAUGCUACAAGAUAAAUCGGAGGGCAAAUCGAGUGC
rnacentral:rRNA from 1 species